rnacentral:lncRNA from 13 species
AGAUGUCUCUCUUGAUUAUUGCACGGCACUGAAUGGAAAUCUGAUUUACUGCCCCUGGACAGCAGGGAAGUGCCUCAUUCCAGCCUUUCCCAGUGAACUGCAAUCCUGCUCUGUGCAGGUAUGUAUCGAGGUAAGGUGCCCAAGGGUGAA